GCCGGGUUAGCUCAGUCGGUAGAGCUCUUCUCUUGUAAAGAAGUGGUCAUCGGUUCGAUUCCGAUACCCGGCUCCA
rnacentral:tRNA from 1 species